rnacentral:lncRNA from 1 species
UAUUCAAUUAUUUCCAUUAUUUUAAGACAAGUAGAAUUUUUAAAAAAUAUUUGCAAAGUUUGUGUUAAGCACCAUGAUUUGAAAAUAACAAGUAUCCAAAAUAAUGUACAUCUGUAAUAAAAGGACGGAAUAAUCAGAUCUUUAUUAUUGACAUGUACUUUUCAACAACUUUAACUAUAUAUAUAAACUUUAAUUGGCAACUUAAGCUUAAUGAAGGAAAUGGCACUUUUCAAAAACUUCAACUAUACAUAUAAAAUGAAACAAGCAACUACAGAUUAAUAAAAGUUAAAAGAGCAAGAUAGUUCAUAAUUGGUUAAUGUUAGCUUCCUGGUUAUGACAUGAGUUGGAACAAAAUAAAAACUUAACAUUUUCAUUCUAUAUAUAAAUUGCCCCAAAACACUCGACAAUUGUUGCAGAAAUAAGCAUUGGUAGCAAGCAAAAAAAAAAUAACAAGAAUAAGAAGAAACAGAGUAUAAAAAAUAGUGUCCCAAUUUUUGUUCAAUUAAUAAUUUUUUUUUGUGCUGUUAUUGCAAAAAGUAAAGUGUUUUGUUUCAAAAAAACUCAUAACAUAACAACUUUCGUUAGCUGCACCACUAUACAACUAUUCAUGAAAUAAAAGUCUUGACAUUUGUUUCAUCAUAAUCUCAACAUUAAAAUUCACACCUAAUCAUUUCUAAUUAGUUGCUUUACAUUAUACACUGUAUAUAAGAACAAACUUUAUUAUUCUAAACUUAUUUCAAAUCUGGCAAAUUCAGAUACCAAUGAACUGAAGAAAGCAUUUAAUAUGUAUUAGUUAAUUACUCAAAUAUAUUUACCAGCACAUUGCACCACCUUUGAGUACUGUAUAAUUAUGUUCUUAUUUUGCUGUGUCUUAAUUUUCAUGUUUUUUUGUGGUAAGUAUAUUUUGGUCAAAAUAUAUACACUUGAAUACAAAAAUGUUAUAAAAUGAAUUUAACAACGGUAAAUGAAUUCAAACUUGACUAAUUAACUUUGCCCUUUUAAAAGAACACCAGUAAUAGUUGAAAAAAAAAAACACAACAAAAAAUCAAUUAAAGAAACAGGAAAAAAC